UACAGAGGCCUCGAGCGUUAGGCGGAAUCACUGGGCUUAAAGCGUGUGUAGGCGGACUUCUAAGUACCUUGUGAAAUCCCACGGCUUACCCGUGGAACUGCUCGGUAUACUGGGAGUCUUGAGCCACCUAGGGGCGAGUGGAACAAAUGGUGGAGCGGUGAAAUGCGUAGAGAUCGGGAGGAACACCAGCGGCGAAGGCGGCAAACUGGAUAGGCACUGACACUCAACAACGAAAGCGUGGGGGAGCAAACAG
rnacentral:rRNA from 1 species